rnacentral:rRNA from 1 species
GACGAACGCUGGCGGCGUGCUUAACACAUGCAAGUCGAACGAGUGGCGAACGGGUUAGUAACACGUGGGUGACCUGCCCUGCACUUCGGGAUAAGCCUGGGAAACUGGGUCUAAUACCGGCUAGUGUGGGAUGGGCCCGCGGCCUAUCAGCUUGUUGGGGGGGUAAUGGCUACCAAGGCGCGAUGUCGAGCUGGUCUGAGAGGAUGAUCAGCCAACCGUGGACUGAGAGCCGGCCCAGACUCCUACGGGAGGCAGCAGUGGGGAAUAUUGAACAAUGGGCGCAAGCCUGAUGCAGCCAUGCCGCGUGUAUGAAGAAGGCCUUAGGGUUGUAAAGUACUUUCAGCGGGGAGGCGUUACCCGCAGAAGAAGCACCGGCUAACUCCGUGCCAGCAGCCGCGGUAAUAC